GUGCUACUUCAGCUCUACAGAUACGAAAAUUGUAACGAUACAGAGAAGAUUAGCAUGGCCCCCUGUGCACAGAUGACAUGCAAAUUUGUGAAGCGAUCCUUAUCUUU